AUCUGGACCUGGUCCACCUAUAAGGUCCAGCUGCCUGUGACCUGUGGGCACAUGAAGGGAACACUCGUCCGGGCCAGACUGGCUAAAGGGGAAAGAUGCAUUCUGGUGAAGAACAAGUGGUUUACUCCCGGUGAAUUCGAGAGGUUUGCAGGGAAGGAACGCACCAAGAACUGGAAGCUGAGUAUCCGAUGUGAAGACACCCCUUUAAAAAUUCUGAUAGAGGGGGGGCACCUGAUGCCAGGAAGGUACAAACGACAAAGUAAACA